CCUACGGGGGGCAGCAGUGAGGAAUAUUGGUCAAUGGGCGAGAGCCUGAACCAGCCAAGUCGCGUGAAGGAUGACGGCCCUACGGGUUGUAAACUUCUUUUGUCAGGGAGCAAUUGGGUCCACGCGUGGGCUUAGCGAGAGUACCUGAAGAAAAAGCAUCGGCUAACUCCGUGCCUGCAGCCGCGGUAAUACGGAGGAUGCGAGCGUUAUCCGGAUUUAUUGGGUUUAAAGGGUGCGUAGGCGGACUAUCAAGUCAGCGGUAAAAAUUCGGGGCUCAACCCCGUCGUGCCGUUGAAACUGAUGUGCUUGAGUGGGGGAGAAGUAUGCGGAAUGCGUGGGGUAGCGGUGAAAUGCAUAGAUAUCACGCAGAACUCCGAUUGCGAAGGCAGCAUACCGGCGCCCAACUGACGCUGAAGCACGAAAGCGUGGGUAUCGAACAGGAUUAGAUACCCUUGUAGUC
rnacentral:rRNA from 1 species